rnacentral:tRNA from 1 species
AGCAAACCUGACCCAUGAAUUUUUCUUUGGCUUCCUAUUUGGUGUUGUGAUCUCUUUCUACCACCCAUGGUACCACCAGUGUCAUCUGCCAUGAGGUCACAGAGUUAAGGGGGACCCUUGCCAGAGCCAGCACUGUACAGUUUGGGCUCUCAGCUUCCGAAUCUGUGACCUAAAUCUUUUUUCGGUAUAAAGUUAGAUUGCCUCAGGUAUUUCAUUAUAACAACAACAACAACAACAAAACACACAAACUAACACAAGUCAAAAGGCAACAGGUGUGUACUAAAAGGGAUAAUUUGAAAGACAUGGAGAAAAAAAGGCCAAGAACCAUGAUCAGGAAACCACAGAUGGUAUUAAAAUUGAGGAUGCAUGCUGCUCUUGACCAGGAUGGCAAGCAGGCCGUGGUAACAGCAAGGAAGGGACAACUUGGAACUUGAUACAGAGCUAUUGGAAAUAACCAAAGCAGUUUUCAAACAGUUAAAUUUUUGUGUGUGUGGUGCUGGGGAUCAAACCCAAGGCCUCAUGUAUGCUAGGCAAGUGCUCUACCAUUGAGCCACAUCCACAGCCCUAUAUAGUUUAUUUGAAUGUCUACAUAGGUCGUAAAACAAAUCAAGAAUAUCCAGUUCAGUGCAGAGUUUGUGAUUGGCUUCUGUAAAAACAGUUGGCAUCAAGGUAGUGCUUGAACCUUUGACACCUAACAAAGAAAGUGAACCAAGAGAAGUGUAGAUAAGAAUAUUCACUGGGAGGUUACUCUGACCAUAGUAAAGUCUCACUAUGAAGAUAAGCAAGGUGGAAUUGACCACUACACACAGAAUCAUAUAGAUAAAUCCUGCAAUAAAAGAAUCAAAUUGUUCUUUAAUGCUUAUAUAAGAA